rnacentral:rRNA from 1 species
GAUGAACGCUAGCGGCAGGCCUAAUACAUGCAAGUCGAGCGGUAACAUGAGUAGCAAUACUUGAUGACGAGUGGCGCACGGGUGCGUAACACGUAUGUAAUCUUCCCACAACUGGGGGAUAGCCCGGAGAAAUCCGGAUUAAUACCCCAUAACCCAGCGAGGUGGCAUCACCUUUCUGGUAAAUCUCCGGAGGUUGUGGAUGAACAUGCGUCCGAUUAGCUAGUUGGCGGGGUAACGGCCCACCAAGGCUACGAUCGGUAGGGGUACUGAGAGAUUAAACCCCCACACUGGUACUGAGACACGGACCAGACUCCUACGGGAGGCAGCAGUAAGGAAUAUUGGACAAUGGAGGCAACUCUGAUCCAGCCAUGCCGCGUGAAGGAUGAAGGCGCUAUGCGUUGUAAACUUCUUUUGAACGGGAAAAAACCCCUUUACGUGUAAAGGGUUGAUUGUACCGUUAGAAUAAGGGUCGGCUAACUUCGUGCCAGCCGCCGCGGUAAAAC